AGGGAACAGGGGCAGGUGGUCAUAGAGCAUCAGACGUGGGAGUUCAGACGAGGUUGGACGAUUUUUUCCACUGUCGGACUGGUCUGGGCAGACAAUGAACCACUGAAGGACGGAGAUGUGUCAUUCGGAAGAAACGUAAGUGCAGCAAGAAAUCAAGAAAGGGGAGGGCUAAACAACGAGGUUCUCAAAUAUUGUUCAAACGAUCUGUCCAACAGAAAGCUCUGAAUCAGAUGACAGCAGCACAGAUGACGGGAACAUUGCUUACUACAUAGAGUUGCCAACAUCGAGACGAAAUACUAUGCCAGUGAGGUGUGGGUGGGUGGCAGCAGAUGUGGGGCGAGUUGCUGCGCCUACUGCAGAGGUCGCAAAUGUUUCCGUAGUCAAUAAUCCUGGUCAAUAAUAAUCCUGAACAUUCAACUGGUUACACUUACCAGAGGACAACAAGUGAAUGUCCGAAUAACCUCAACAGCAUGCUUGACAGAUAUACGAGAUGUUGGUGCUGGACAGCAGCCUGUGGCAUCAUUCUCCGC